GACGAACGCUGGCGGCGUGCUUAACACAUGCCAGUCGAACGGAAAGGCCCGGCUUUUGUGGGGUGCUCGAGUGGCGAACGGGUGAGUAACACGUGAGUAACCUGCCCUUGACUUUGGGAUAACUUCAGGAAACUGGGGCUAAUACCGGAUAGGAGCUCCUGCAGCAUGGUGGGGGUUGGAAAGUUCCGGCGGUUGGGGAUGGACUCGCGGCUUAUCAGCUUGUUGGGGGGGUAGUGGCUUACCAAGGCUUUGACGGGUAGCCGGCCUGAGAGGGUGACCGGCCACAUUGGGACUGAGAGACGGCGCAGACUCCUACGGGAGGCAGCAGUGGGGAAUAUUGCACAAUGGGCGGAAGCCUGAUGCAGCAACGCCGCGUGCGGGAUGACGGCCUUCGGGUUGUAAACCGCUUUCGCCUGUGACGAAGCGUGAGUGACGGUAAUGGGUAAAGAAGCACCGGCUAACUACGUG
rnacentral:rRNA from 1 species